rnacentral:lncRNA from 1 species
GCCCUUUCCCCUCAAAGGCCGCGGGAACAUAGGGCUGGGGAAUCCUGGCAGAGGCUCUGGGCAUUAUUACAGAUGGUCGUUGAGGGUCGCAAGCACCAGGCCUGGAGGCCCUCCUCGGCCUGCUACCAGCUGUGACCUUUGGAAAGUGACUUGGCUCGCGCCUCAGUUUUCCGUUUUCUGGAGGACUUGCGGCCUGAGAGUGGCCAAAAAGAAGAGAGUUACUGUCGCAGUCACUGCCUGCCUAGUGGGUAUUUAGGUGCCCAGUCAUGCCUUUGCUCUCGGAGCCAGUGCCUGGUGCAAGCACUGCGGUGGGUUCGUGCCCCAGCUUGGGGGCCACAGGGCUGACUCGGCCGCACUGCCUAUGCGAGCUUGGCCCCAGUUUCCUCGUCAGGGCACAGAACUUCCUUCAAAGGUUCAAAAGAAGAGGCUGUUCUAAGAAAGACUACCGAGUAAUCAAUCACCUCCUCAGAGAAAGUCUGCUCAGGAAACUCUCCUCCCACCAGCCCCUGCACUUGGUUCCUUGCGUUGCCUCUGGCUGGAAGCUGUUGUCCCCAACUUCAGAAAGUGUCUGCAGAUUUCACAGGCUCUCUCUUGGGUCAAGGGACCAGCUCUGUGAACACGGCAAGUAACAACAGAGAGAAAACGUGAGGAGAAAAGAGAGACCGGGAUUUUGAAAUCCUGUUUCCUGAAUGCCAUCUCACCAGGCACACGAAAGAAUAAAAUUAAGGAAUCAA